rnacentral:lncRNA from 1 species
AUUAUUGGAAUGCCUCUGCGCACAGCACAUGCCUGCUUCCCAGAUUUCACAGGCCCCUGCUCAGGGAUCUGCAAACCACAUUGCUCAGCCCGAGAUUCCACGCGGGUGAUCACGAGGUGGUUUGCUCUAAGCUGGAACUUUUCUAAGAAAGUAGGUUUCUUUAAGCCAGGCAUUCUGCAUUCUUCAAAAAGCGUCAACCACAUGUCUCCAGCGAGCGCCUAGCAAUGUGCCUGCCUUAAUGGAUGAGGAAACUGAGGCACAAAAAGGUGAAGUCCUGAGCUCACAGUCAUGCAACCAGCAGGUGGUGAAACACACCUCCAAGCUGCCUGCCUCCUAAGCAUCAAGCUUUGUGGCCCAGGAUCUACUUCAUGCUCCAAAUAUUCAUGGACCUUCCCAGGACCUCAACAAAACAAAACCAUGAAGAAAAACCUUGACAUGAACCCCAAAAAAACCCAGUCAGCAAUAUUUUAAGUUAAAUUUUGAAACAAAUCCAAACGGGUUCCUCCCCAUAAAUCUACCAGUAAAUUGUGCAGAAUCAGAACUGAAGCCAUGCCCUUUCUUAAAGUAUUGAAUUAGAAUAAAUGAGAACAUCUAAAUAUUUUCCAAAUUCAUAUUCCAGUUAUAAUAUUCAAGUUUCUUAGUUUCUCUCUGUUCACAUUCAACAUGAAAUAGUCCCAUUAGUCAGUAGCAAGAGCUGCAACAUUUCUACAGGUACUAAAGGAUGUGAUCAGAGCAGGGAAGAUGGCCAACAAGAUGAUGCCACUCUAGCGGGUGCCCAUCCAAAUCAUAACCCAUGAAUACUGCGGCUUUAUUAUCUUGGACAACAGAAAGCUGAUCUUGUAAUUGGAUGAUCACCCCUGCUUGCAUGCUUUCGAGUAGUUACGUAUGACAAAAGGAGCUACUGGUUUUGUGAUGAUGGGUUUCUGGGUAAACCCUAGAUGCAGAAGCAGCUUUUAAGCAUAGCAGAGCAAGAGUCAAAUGGUUCUGAAAAAAGUUUUAACUCUGAGAUGACUUCUCCCCGCUUCUUUCACUCUACCCUCUCAAUCCUAGAGCAAGUGAGCAGAGUAGGUAAAGCUGUUUCCUCCAGAAAGAUGAUCCAUAUUUUAAACAGCUCUGUGAAUGGGGCACUAAGACUCAGAAGAUCUGGUUUUCAGUUCGCAUUCUGCCUUUAACUGGUCUUGAAAGUUUGGGCAACUCAAUUAUCUCAUGGAGUCAGUAUUUGCAUCUGUACAGUGGGGAUAUGAAUACCUGUCUUACCUACACGGAGCUGUAAGAGCAACAGAAUGUGAGCUGGCAUGAUGUUAUUAUAUGUAUCACCUUGGUUAUUUUAAAACAUGCUUGAUGUAUUAGCCUCUCUGUUUCCUCUUGAGUUUUCCUGCAGAGAUGUCUUUUAAACCAAGCAUCACUCUCCCAAUCAGAGACAGGGCUAACUAGAUAGACAAAUGAGAAAGAGAAGUCGGGGAUGGGAUGGGAGCACAGCCAAUGCAGAAACAGUCAUGUGUAUUCUUCUAGACAGGUGAGCAGAGACAUUUUCAGGAUUUCAGGGGGGCAGGAUGGAGACAUGGGGGAAGCUUCUGGGUCAGUUCUUGAUGGUGUGGCUUCAGUAUGUAGAUGCACACAUUCUCCUCUAAGUCGAAAAGAAUAUACUGGGGGUUUCCAUUCUUUUGGAUUUUCCAGGCUUCUAACGACCUCCACCAUUCCCAGUCCAGAGGAGGUCAUGGGAUGAUAGAAAGUGGGAGCAACCAGGGCA